rnacentral:lncRNA from 1 species
GACAGCAAGAAGAUCGAUCUACCAGACGGGCUAUGCGUUGAAAUAUCUCCUGACGGUUGUACAUACCACGAUGGUCUUUGCUUCCAUUGUUUGGUAACUGACGUCUACUACCCCACUAUGGAUGACUGCAAGAGCAAUUGCAACAAAUCCUCGUCUUUACAAGACGUGCUAGUUGCCACGACAACCUCCCCUCCUCCUCCUUUAUCUGCUCCUUAAUUUUCCGGCCUAGACAAUGGUUAUAUGUACAAGAUUGUCCCCUGAAAAUAAUGCCUAUGUGCGGAAACCAGUUAUGCAAUGCGAGUAAUAUACUGCAGCAGUUGUUGCUGAGUAUUUUGGUUUGGCAAAUCACAUUUGAACCUUUACUAGCAAUUGUUGGGAGAGCGAUGAAAUGACUCGCAAGCGCAGAUGCUCCGGAAAUCUGAGUGGUACAGCUUAGCUUGGGAUCUGUGUCGGUUAAAUCUGUGUCACAUAUACGUUUUAGAAUACAGAGGUGAAUACAUCUGCAGAUGGGCUAUACUGGACCAUAGUACUAACUCCUCGCAAAGUCGCAAGUCUCCUCUCUUCAAGUCCAUCGAUGUCCCAUGCAAAAUAAAAUGAAAUAAGUCCAUCGAUCUCUCACUUAAAAAGAGUCCUAUGGCUAUGGAUGACCAGGGAGGCCGCCCUUGGCCAAUAUCAGGCGCCAGUGAGUUCGUCUACCCUGUCAUGGUGGGUUUCUCAUCUAUCCUACCUCUCAUGAGGCGUCCGGUUCUUGUCUUUCCCAAGCUCACAUUAAUAUUCCCAAAUCAGCCCUCGGCCGGCCUUGGCGACAUCAUCCUCAUCCACUCCCGUGCUGCACACACCCAUUUCUCUGAUCUCUUAAAGCAACUCUAGCCGAGCCCAUAAAAGAUACAGGAGUAUUUGGCCGGGUAAACCUUAAUGGAGUAAAUUUAGUCCACUAAGUUUUGGUCGGUUCUAGCUGAUCCCCUAAAUUUAGCGGAGUAAAAUCAAAUUUGGUUAAGAUGAACAUAGAUUCGAUCUAAACAAACUUCUAAACCAAAAUUCGACACAUAAUUUACAUUAUCAUCCGUCGAAACAUAGUUCAAAGCGAUACUAAAACUUGAACUCAAACAUAAGCUAAAAUCUAAAUCUAACCAAAAAAAUUAGUCGCUAUUCGACUUUGCGAGGGAGAGCAAGUCCUCCCUAGAGAUUCCACCGCCCAUGGGGUCAGUCCCUAGGUCGUCUUCGUUGUAUCCAGGAAGGUCCUUCACCACUCCUCGAUGUUGAAGCUGUCAUCGUUGCCGCCUCCACUGCCACCAUUGUUGCCGCCUCCACCGAGCCAGCUCGUCAUCGACCAGCGCCCACGUGCAUCUAGGGAUCAUACAUUCAACAGGGGGUGACUCCAUGAGUCAGGUGAUCCACAAAAACCGCAUGAGCUAGAGUCCGCCAUAUGGCUGUGUGCCCAAUAUCAUUUGUUGCUAAAGAAUGUAUGGAUAGAUGCCAAAGGAACAGCCUCACGUUUCCCGGCACCAGAACUUUCCAUAAACUUUUCCAUGAGCCCUCUUCAGCAGCCGAGGUGGAGGAACCAUCCCUUUGAUCUAAGCAUGACUAUUGGAGAACUAAUUACAAUUAUGAAAUAUACAAAUAUAGACAUAGGAGAUAAGUCCAACCAAAUUUGGGAACUUGUCUAAAAAGGGAGAAAAUUAGUCUGACUUGAUUUUGCUUUUAAUGAGGGUUCAUAAUAUAGGGUGAUAUUAAAUAAUCCAAUUUUAUUGCUUGAUGGUUUACACGGGAUAAGGAUGACCGGUUCUCUCUUCUCUCAAUAUAUACGAUCGACUCAUGUGCUCAUUGGUAACCAAACAUUUCUCAUCGACAACCAAAGUGACCUGAGUGCCUGCGUAGCUAGUGUUGUAUCUGGUUGGCCAUGGACAAGUACACGAUUCGCAUCCUUGCACUAGGAGCCCUAGUGUGUCUACAUCUCGUAUGCUCUGCUACUGUUGCUCAAUGUAAGGCAGCUAGCAUACCAAUAUUUAUGUAUCUUCACAAUGCUUAAUUUUUCUUCACUUGUCCUGGCUGGAAGUAUGUACCUAGUAUAGCUAUCAAAGGCCUUUCUAUUUUGCUUUGUAACUGGUUCCAUCGUUUAUAUGCAUAUAUAUACAUACACACUACUCUAAAAUAAUUGCAUAACGAUGGUUGUUCGUUUGUUAUUACUCCAUAAUAUACAGGCCAAAUCAUGGCUGACANNNNNNNNNNNNNNNNNNNNNNNNNNNNNNNNNNNNNNNNNNNNNNNNNNNNNNNNNNNNNNNNNNNNNNNNNNNNNNNNNNNNNNNNNNNNNNNNNNNNNNNNNNNNNNNNNNNNNNNNNNNCCAUAUGGCUGUGUGCCCAAUAUCAUUUGUUGCUAAAGAAUGUAUGGAUAGAUGCCAAAGGAACAGCCUCACGUUUCCCGGCACCAGAACUUUCCAUAAACUUUUCCAUGAGCCCUCUUCAGCAGCCGAGGUGGAGGAACCAUCCCUUUGAUCUAAGCAUGACUAUUGGAGAACUAAUUACAAUUAUGAAAUAUACAAAUAUAGACAUAGGAGAUAAGUCCAACCAAAUUUGGGAACUUGUCUAAAAAGGGAGAAAAUUAGUCUGACUUGAUUUUGCUUUUAAUGAGGGUUCAUAAUAUAGGAUGAUAUUAAAUAAUCCAAUUUUAUUGCUUGAUGGUUUACACGGGAUAAGGAUGACCGGUUCUCUCUUCUCUCAAUAUAUACGAUCGACUCAUGUGCUCAUUGGUAACCAAACAUUUCUCAUCGACAACCAAAGUGACCUGAGUGCCUGCGUAGCUAGUGUUGUAUCUGGUUGGCCAUGGACAAGUACACGAUUCGCAUCCUUGCACUAGGAGCCCUAGUGUGUCUACAUCUCGUAUGCUCUGCUACUGUUGCUCAAUGUAAGGCAGCUAGCACACCAAUAUUUAUGUAUCUUCACAAUGCUUAAUUUUUCUUCACUUGUCCUGGCUGGAAGUAUGUACCUAGUAUAGCUAUCAAAGGCCUUUCUAUUUUGCUUUGUAACUGGUUCCAUCGUUUAUAUGCAUAUAUAUACAUACACACUACUCUAAAAUAAUUGCAUAACGAUGGUUGUUCGUUUGUUAUUACUCCAUAAUAUACAGGCCAAAUCAUGGCUGACAACGACAGCAAGAAGAUCGAUCUACCAGACGGGCUAUGCGUUGAAAUAUCUCCUGACGGUUGUACAUACCACGAUGGUCUUUGCUUCCAUUGUUUGGUAACUGACGUCUACUACCCCACUAUGGAUGACUGCAAGAGCAAUUGCAACAAAUCCUCGUCUUUACAAGACGUGCUAGUUGCCAUGACAACCUCCCCUCCUCCUCCUUUAUCUGCUCCUUAAUUUUCCGGCCUAGACAAUGGUUAUAUGUACAAGAUUGUCCCCUGAAAAUAAUGCCUAUGUGCGGAAACCAGUUAUGCAAUGCGAGUAAUAUACUGCAGCAGUUGUUGCUGAGUAUUUUGGUUUGGCAAAUCACAUUUGAACCUUUACUAGGAAUUGUUGGGAGAGCGAUGAAAUGACUCGCAAGCGCAGAUGCUCCGGAAAUCUGAGUGGUACAGCUUAGCUUGGGAUCUGUGUCGGUUAAAUCUGUGUCACAUAUACGUUUUAGAAUACAGAGGUGAAUACAUCUGCAGAUGGGCUAUACUGGACCAUAGUACUAACUCCUCGCAAAGUCGCAAGUCUCCUCUGUUCAAGUCCAUCGAUGUCCCAUGCAAAAUAAAAUGAAAUAAGUCCAUCGAUCUCUCACUUAAAAAGAGUCCUAUGGCUAUGGAUGACCAGGGAGGCCGCCCUUGGCCAAUAUCCGGCGCCGGUGAGUUCGUCUACCCUGUCAUGGUGGGUUUCUCAUCUAUCCUACCUCUCAUGAGGCGUCCGGUUCUUGUCUUUCCCAAGCUCACAUUAAUAUUCCCAAAUCAGCCCUCGGCCGGCCUUGGCGACAUCAUCUUCAUCCACUCCCGUGCUGCACACACCCAUUUCUCUGAUCUCUUAAAGCAACUCUAGCCGAGCCCAUAAAAGAUACAGGAGUAUUUGGCCGGGUAAACCUUAAUGGAGUAAAUUUAGUCCACUAAGUUUUGGUCGGUUCUAGCUGAUCCCCUAAAUUUAGCGGAGUAAAAUAAAAUUUGGUUAAGAUGAACAUAGAUUCGAUCUAAACAAACUUCUAAACCGAAAUUCGACACGUAAUUUACAUUAUCAUCCGUCGAAACAUAGUUCAAAGUGAUACUAAAACUUGAACUCAAACAUAAGCUAAAAUCUAAAUCUAACCAAAAAAAUUAGUCGCUAUUCGACUUUGCGAGGGAGAGCAAGUCCUCCCUAGAGAUUCCACCGCCCAUGGGGUCAGUCCCUAGGUCGUCUUCGUUGUAUCCAGGAAGGUCCUUCACCACUCCUCGAUGUUGAAGCUGUCAUCGUUGCCGCCUCCACUGCCACCAUUGUUGCCGCCUCCACCGAGCCAGCUCGUCAUCGACCAGCGCCCACGUGCAUCUAGGGAUCAUACAUUCAACAGGGGGUGACUCCAUGAGUCAGGUGAUCCACAAAAACCGCAUGAGCUAGAGUCCGCCAUAUGGCUGUGUGCCCAAUAUCAUUUGUUGCUAAAGAAUGUAUGGAUAGAUGCCAAAGGAACAGCCUCACGUUUCCCGGCACCAGAACUUUCCAUAAACUUUUCCAUGAGCCCUCUUCAGCAGCCGAGGUGGAGGAACCAUCCCUUUGAUCUAAGCAUGACUAUUGGAGAACUAAUUACAAUUAUGAAAUAUACAAAUAUAGACAUAGGAGAUAAGUCCAACCAAAUUUGGGAACUUGUCUAAAAAGGGAGAAAAUUAGUCUGACUUGAUUUUGCUUUUAAUGAGGGUUCAUAAUAUAGGAUGAUAUUAAAUAAUCCAAUUUUAUUGCUUGAUGGUUUACACGGGAUAAGGAUGACCGGUUCUCUCUUCUCUCAAUAUAUACGAUCGACUCAUGUGCUCAUUGGUAACCAAACAUUUCUCAUCGACAACCAAAGUGACCUGAGUGCCUGCGUAGCUAGUGUUGUAUCUGGUUGGCCAUGGACAAGUACACGAUUCGCAUCCUUGCACUAGGAGCCCUAGUGUGUCUACAUCUCGUAUGCUCUGCUACUGUUGCUCAAUGUAAGGCAGCUAGCAUACCAAUAUUUAUGUAUCUUCACAAUGCUUAAUUUUUCUUCACUUGUCCUGGCUGGAAGUAUGUACCUAGUAUAGCUAUCAAAGGCCUUUCUAUUUUGCUUUGUAACUGGUUCCAUCGUUUAUAUGCAUAUAUAUACAUACACACUACUCUAAAAUAAUUGCAUAACGAUGGUUGUUCGUUUGUUAUUACUCCAUAAUAUACAGGCCAAAUCAUGGCUGACACCGACAGCAAGAAGAUCGAUCUACCAGACGGGCUAUGCGUUGAAAUAUCUCCUGACGGUUGUACAUACCACGAUGGUCUUUGCUUCCAUUGUUUGGUAACUGACGUCUACUACCCCACUAUGGAUGACUGCAAGAGCAAUUGCAACAAAUCCUCGUCUUUACAAGACGUGCUAGUUGCCAUGACAACCUCCCCUCCUCCUCCUUUAUCUGCUCCUUAAUUUUCCGGCCUAGACAAUGGUUAUAUGUACAAGAUUGUCCCCUGAAAAUAAUGCCUAUGUGCGGAAACCAGUUAUGCAAUGCGAGUAAUAUACUGCAGCAGUUGUUGCUGAGUAUUUUGGUUUGGCAAAUCACAUUUGAACCUUUACUAGGAAUUGUUGGGAGAGCGAUGAAAUGACUCGCAAGCGCAGAU